CUUCUAGCUUGCUAGGUGGAUUAGUGGCGCACGGGUGAGUAACGCAUAGAUGACAUGCCCUUUAGUUUGGGAUAGCCACUAGAAAUGGUGAUUAAUACCAAAUACUACCCUACGGGGGAAAGAUUUAUCGCUAAAGGAUUGGUCUAUGUCCUAUCAGCUUGUUGGUGAGGUAAAGGCUCACCAAGGCUAUGACGGGUAUCCGGCCUGAGAGGGUGAACGGACACACUGGAACUGAGACACGGUCCAGACUCCUACGGGAGGCAGC
rnacentral:rRNA from 1 species